UUCCAGGAUUCUUGAGGAAUAGUUCUGACCAAGAAUUCUUUUUAUCUUUUUGGUGCCUACGUCAACCAUGAAGAAAACCCAUUAAGCUCCCCUUGGGCCCAGUACAGCAGAGGAGACCUGCAGCAGCUUGCAACUCUCUAGUGCGCCCACCUCUUCAGCAAAGAACAACAGAGGAACAUCCAAGCAGUGCGAGGCCGUCUGGUAGGCCCACCCCAUUGGCCCAGUACAGCAGAGGAGCCCAGCCACCCAGCGCCAACACAGUGGGGUCUCCGUGCCCCCUUCACCCUAACACGAACAAGAGAAAGCGGGCCUCUCUGAGGCUCCUAGAUGAUAAUUGAAGCCCACUGGAAAAGUGCAGAAAAUCUCUGCCAUAAAGGCACACCUCACAACCACAGUUGCUCAUCUGACAAAUACGUGCAAAUACCCUUUUACCUUACGGAUCAGAAGGCCUGAGAAGUGGUUU